UAUAAAUUUGGAUUGACACGAAGCCCACCAGAGCGGUAAUGCACCAAAGGUGUUUCAUGAGGAUACUCUGGAGGAAGGUAAAUAUCAAAGAAGAACAGCCCAUCAUGAUAUGGAGUUCCAGGCGCACCAACAAUGGCCGCUCGAAGGAGAUCCAUCCUGUCCUCGUAGACGCGGAUAUAUAUUGAUUCAGGAAGAUCUUUAUCUAGGUUACUCCAUUCUUCUUGGACCUU
rnacentral:misc_RNA from 1 species